rnacentral:rRNA from 1 species
AUGAUGUGGACUCUUUGGACUACUCGCAGCAAGAUGAUGAUUGAGCGGGUGUUCCCAUGUCGUGCUUCUGACUCGUUCUUCAAAUUUCUUGCCUUCUUGCAGUACUGGCAUCCGCUCACUAGGCCGAGGGAUCGUGACCGUCUUCACCUCUUGCUGGACGCCCUGGUGUCUACCGCGCGUCGGCUCUCCGACCGACCGCCUGCUUUGUAG